rnacentral:lncRNA from 1 species
AAUAAAUGUUAAAUAAUUUAGACUACUGGUAUUAGAUAUAAAUAUUAAUUUUACAAUAUUGAGCAUUCACAUAUAAAUUAUACAUUAAAAAAUUAAAAAAAUUGAUGCAGCUUAAGUUAAUUUUAUAUUUGACGAAAAUUAAUUGCUAGAAUCACAAACAAUGAUUUCUCUUCUCAUUCACUAACUACUGGGGGACUACGAUACCUACUAAAAUUAUUUCACUAACUAAUGGGGGACUACUAUGUCUACUAAAAGUUUUUGAUGUACUUAUUGCACCAUUUAAAUUCUGAAAUUAAUUUUUAUAACUAAUUUUUAAAAUUAAAUUUUAAAAUAACUACCCGCAGCAUCGCGCGGGUCCCUUAACUAGUACAUAGUUUAAAGGCAAGUUCGAG